UUAUAGGCACUUAAUCAGUGUCUUUUCAUAGUAGAGACAUCAACAGAUUAGCUUUACAGGGAAUCAUUUAACAUUAUGCAGAGGAUCCUUAUUAUCCUCUUAGUUUAUGUAAAGUAAGUUGCCUACUUUUUUAUUUUCCAGCGAUCCAGAUCGGAAGCACAAUUUGCACGCUGGGGAAGGUACGCCAAGAGAAGGAAAUUGGACAAAGCCAACAACUCACUGACCGUGAUGGCCAUCCCGGAGAAAAAAACAAUACACGUAUUGUAACUAAAGUAUGCAGAGAAUCAUUAGUAGAUGAAUAUGCAAAAAAUCAUUAUUAUCUUGGCCCUUCUUCGAAUUCUGUCUUCUGAAACCUCAGGCAAACCUAAUCAAACCCAGCCAAUUUGAAUUACGAGAUGCAAUCAAUAGAAGAUAUUCAUGAUUGUUUUUGGAAUAUUAUUUGAGGUUGAAGAUCAUAUAAUUUGAAGCAGAAGCUAUUCAUGAAAUCCUAGGGUUUUAUCAGGAGAAGCUUUUUAUUUGUAAAUAAAAAACCAGGGUAAGCUUAAUUGAUCAAAGCCUAAAAAUCCUAGGGAUUUUACAGGAUUUAGAGAAUCGAUCAAGUUCGAUUUUGGAAGGAAGGCCUUCGUAGAUAGACUGCAACUCUUUGAGUUUGAUCCAAGUCCGACUGUGGAAGGAAUUCAAUGUACUUGCAGUGGUUGUCCAAAAAAAAAAGUGGACUUGGAGUAAGUUUAUAUUUCCCCUUCAAAUAGGAACUAACGUGUCUUGAUUACAUGUUUGUAUGUAAUUUAUUGAGUGUAGGUAAGUUCUUUGUUGGUCAAUCAAUAUUCGUUGGUCUAAUUUUUGAGUGAACAUGGGUUCUUUUUUCAUGAUUCCAUUGUACGGAGGAUGAUCUUAGGGUCCCUUUUGGUAGGUAAGACUCAAAGGGUACACCUAAUAUUUUCAAUUUCAGCCACAAAAACUUCAAUCAAUUUAUUCAACUGUUUGAAUGAAUCCACCAAGCACAAAGGGUUCAAACGGAGACUAAUUUAGUUCUGUAUCAGGAGAAGAUACAGACUGAUCUACUGCUUAUCCUAAAAUCGAGCUUCCGGUAUCAGAAGAAGUUGAGUAAGUUGCAAUAACUUUUAAUAACUAUUUACGUAAGUUCAAGUAAAAUAGGAACCUCUUUCGGUGGAGCUUUUACUACUAUACUUGAUAGGCUCAAAGUCUCCUUUUGGACCAUCUCUUUGAUAAUUUUGGGAACUACUUCACUCUUUGCGUGUACCUAUACAAUUCAUAUUGGUUGUUUAGAUCUGAAAACUGAGAUAUUUUACAGAGACCACCAUUGAGACUGUAAGAAAUAUUAGCAGAUUUUCCCUUAAACAUGAAUUUUAACGGGGAUGCUUUAAUCCCAGCGAAACUUGAACUGAUGGUAAUUCAAUGGCUACAAUAGCAUAAGAGUAUAAUAUAUUGUUUCGGUUGCGCGCAGCAUGAGGAUGAGGACUAUAGACUGAUCUUUCUUUAGUUAGCAGUAUUUUCUUUGCGUUUGAAAAAUAGAUCAGCUGCUACAGAGGACAACAAAACAGCUAGCCACCCAAAACCAUCCAUUGCCAGUGAGACAUCAAGAUAAAGAUGCGGUUUGGAAUAAUUUCCUCCUGGAUUCAUGGGUAAUCUCUUGGUGUAGAAGAGUGAUAGUAUACACCACCAGUCUAUAUAUUAUUAACUUUCUUUAACUUCAUAUAUCUUUCUGAUUAUAUUACUUUGGAAGAGUCUUGGUAUGACUUGGUUCUUCCGUUCAACCCUGUUAAUUAAAUUUUCUUUACCUGAGCUCUGAUUAAUAUUUCAUACUCUUGAUAUCUAUUGAUUUCAUAUAGGUUCAUUUUUGUACGUAUUCAUGGAUAUGCAGAUGACAUAGGUUUUCUCAUUUCAGUAUAUCAUCGGCUCUUGGCUGAAAACAAAAACGUUUGUGCAAGUCAUUUUUUUUUUUGUUUCUAUAUAGACCAAUCAAUGUAGAAGGCUUGGAGCAACAUUCUUAACAUCGACUCUAUAAUCUUUUUGUGUUUGCCAGCCUCAAAAGCCAUCUCUACUUUAUUGCAGGAUUGAAGAUCGACAAAUAGUUGACUAUGUACUGAAUCACUGUUGAGGUAGUUCCUUUGCUUGAUCAAAUGCAGCCUGUGCAAAUGAAUUUGAUGCCGCAUUCACUGCCUGCGGUCUCUACCUUGGGGCUUUGUAUCUAAUUAUUUAGGUGCUAAAAUAUCUUGCCGGUGCUGCAAAUCAGUGAUAUAAUAAAAGGUUUUUUAAAGUUGUGAAGGCAAGUAAUGAAUUGACCGUUUCAUCUGAGAAUUCCAAGAAUCUUCAAAUAAUGUCAGGGAUAACUCAGAUUUAUAGCAUCACUUAUGACAGAAGAGCACCAGAAUGGGUAGUGAUGUACGCGUGCGGCACCGACAUCACUGGUUCAUCUGAUCAUGGCUCUUCAGUUGCACAUGAAUAAGUAAGACAUUAGGUAUUAUCUAAUUUACUAAAGGACGACCCACUUAAAACCGUCUAAUUAAUUGCAUUCCAUUGUUUUUCAUUUCUAAAAGCAUAUAUUUCCUAUCUAAAGAUUUCGUCCUUGACACAUGCAUCCUUUUUGUUUGCUGCUUCUGCAAGUACUCAUGGUUGCAUCAAAAUUGGACUUCUGAUUCAAUUCUUCUAUGUGAGGUAGAAUUGAUUGUCAUGGUACAUCCGUUACUGAUGGAGUUCUUCGGUAAAUAUCAGAUUGAAGGUGCUGGCGAAAAAUUUCUCCAAGGGGAUUGCUUUUACCAAUAUGGUGUUUGUACGCUUUUUAUUUUGUAUCUGGGGUACUGACGGAAGAGUUGCUUUUACCAGUAUGCUGCCCGCUGCACCAAACACAUGAGUUAAUUCAAGAGCAGGGAAGAGGUGAUGCACUCAAGAAGUGCCAGUUGGGGGUUUUCAGGAUUUAGCAAACAACCCAAAAGUAGCUCUGGCAGCAACAUAAAUAGGGCUCUUCAUUCAUGUGUAAGUUGGUGAAUGAUAAUAAUUUUUUGUUUGUUUCUUCAUUGUUUUUUCUGUGUUAGUUGUUCGACGAUCCUCAGCAUUAUGAACAUAAUUUAUUUUUUAAAGAAAAAACUUGGACGGGGGUGAUGUAUGUUGGAUUUUUGAACACCAUAGAGAA